rnacentral:tRNA from 1 species
GGGAUUGUGGCUCAGUGGUAGAAUACUUGCCUAGCAUAUAUGAGGCCCUGAGUUCAAUCCUCAGCAUCACA